GUGCAGCAGGCGCGAAACCUCCGCAAUGCGGGCAACCGCGACGGGGGGACCCCCAGUGCCGUGGCAUCGCCACGGCUUUUCCGGAGUGUAAAAAGCUCCGGGAAUAAGGGCUGGGCAAGGCCGGUGGCAGCCACCGCGGUAAUACCGGCGGCCCGAGUGGUGGCCGCUAUUAUUGGGCCUAAAGCGUCCGUAGCCGGGCCUGUAAGUCCCUGGCGAAAUCCCACGGCUCAACCGUGGGGCUUGCUGGGGAUACUGCAGGGCCUUGGGACCGGGAGAGGCCGGGGGUACCCCGUGGGGGUA
rnacentral:rRNA from 1 species